rnacentral:misc_RNA from 1 species
UCCGGUUUGGCACCGGCAGUCUCCCUAGAGUUCCCGGCGUUACCCGCUGGCAACUAGGAAAAGGGGUUGCGCUCGUUGCGCCACUUAAGGCAACACCUCACGGCACGAGCUGACGACAGCCAUGCAGCACCUGUGCGGGCUCCCGUAGGAGGACCGUGUUUCCACGGUUCUACCACAUGCAUGUCAAGGCCAGGUAAGGUUCUUCGCGUUGCAUCGAAUUAAGCCACAUACUCCACCGCUUGUGCAGGCCCCCGUCAAUUUCUUUGAGUUUUAGCCUUGCGGCCGUACUCCCCAGGCGGGGCGCUUAAUGCGUUAGCUACGACACGGAAACCGUGGAAAGGUCCCCACAUCUAGCGCCCAACGUUUACGGCGUGGACUAC